GACCGGCAAACGGGUGCGGAACACGUACGCAACCUUCCUUUAAGCGGGGGAUAGCCCAGGGAAACUUGGAUUAAUACCCCAUAAGACAAUGGUGUGGCAUCACACAGUUGUUAAAGCUCCGGCACUUAAAGAUGGGCGUGCGGCUGAUUAGGUAGUUGGCGGGGUAACGGCCCACCAAGCCGACGAUCAGUAACUGGUGUGAGAGCACGACCAGUCACACGGGCACUGAGACACGGGCCCGACUCCUACGGGAGGCAGCAGUAAGGAAUAUUGGUCAAUGGACGCAAGUCUGAACCAGCCAUGCCGCGUGGAGGAUGAAGGCCCUCUGGGUUGUAAACUUCUUUUAUUGGGGAAGAAACCUGUUUUUUCUAAAGCAGUUGACGGUACCCGAUGAAUAAGCACCGGCUAACUCCGUGCCAGCAGCCGCGGUAAUACGGAGGGUGCAAGCGUUAUCCGGAUUCACUGGGUUUAAAGGGUGCGUAGGUGGGCAGGUAAGUCAGUGGUGAAAUCUCUGGGCUUAACCCAGAAACUGCCGUUGAUACUAUCUGUCUUGAAUGUAGUGGAGGUGAGCGGAAUAUGUCAUGUAGCGGUGAAAUGCUUAGAUAUGACAUAGAACAUCUAUUGCGAAGGCAGCUCGCUACACUAUUAU
rnacentral:rRNA from 1 species